AGAGUUUGAUCAUGGCUCAGGACGAACGCUGGCGGCGUGCUUAACACAUGCAAGUCGAGCGGUAAGGCCCUUCGGGGUACACGAGCGGCGAACGGGUGAGCAACACGUGGGUAACCUGCCCUGUACUCUGGGAUAAGCCUUGGAAACGAGGUCUAAUACCGGAUACGACCUGGGAUCGCAUGAUCUUGGGUGGAAAGUUCCGGCGGUAUGGGAUGGACCCGCGGCCUAUCAGCUUGUUGGUGGGGUAAUGGCCUACCAAGGCGACGACGGGUAGCCGGCCUGAGAGGGUGACCGGCCACACUGGGACUGAGACACGGCCCAGACUCCUACGGGAGGCAGCAGUGGGGAAUAUUGCACAAUGGGCGAAAGCCUGAUGCAGCGACGCCGCGUGAGGGAUGACGGCCUUCGGGUUGUAAACCUCUUUCAGCAGGGACGAAGCGCAAGUGACGGUACCUGCAGAAGAAGCACCGGCUAACUACGUGCCAGCCGCCGCGGUAAUAC
rnacentral:rRNA from 1 species